rnacentral:sRNA from 1 species
UCGGAAGCAAAAUUUGGCAUUCCCAAAAAGAUCAAUUUGAAAGAAUA